rnacentral:rRNA from 1 species
UACGAAGGGGGCUAGCGUUGUUCGGAAUUACUGGGCGUAAAGCGCACGUAGGCGGAUCGUUAAGUCGGGGGUGAAAUCCUGGAGCUCAACUCCAGAACUGCCUUCGAUACUGGCGGUCUUGAGUCCGGAAGAGGUGAGUGGAACUCCUAGUGUAGAGGUGGAAUUCGUAGAUAUUAGGAAGAACACCAGUGGCGAAGGCGGCUCACUGGUCCGGUACUGACGCUGAGGUGCGAAAGCGUGGGGAGCAAACAGG